GUUGCCAGCGGUUAGGCCGGGAACUCAAAGGAGACUGCCAGUGAUAAACUGGAGGAAGGUGGGGAUGACGUCAAGUCAUCAUGGCCCUUACGACCAGGGCUACACACGUGCUACAAUGGCGCAUACAAAGAGAAGCGACCUCGCGAGAGCAAGCGGACCUCAUAAAGUGCGUCGUAGUCCGGAUUGGAGUCUGCAACUCGACUCCAUGAAGUCGGAAUCGCUAGUAAUCGUGGAUCAGAAUGCCACGGUGAAUACGUUCCCGGGCCUUGUACACACCGCCCGUCACACCAUGGGAGUGGGUUGCAAAAGAAGUAGGUAGCUUAACCUUCGGGAGGGCGCUUACCACUUUGUGAUUCAUGACUGGGGUGAAGUCGUAACAAGGUAACCGUAGGGGAACCUGC
rnacentral:rRNA from 2 species